rnacentral:rRNA from 1 species
UACGGAGGAUCCAAGCGUUAUCCGGAAUCAUUGGGUUUAAAGGGUCCGUAGGCGGUUUGGUAAGUCAGUGGUGAAAGCCCAUCGCUCAACGGUGGAGCGGCCAUUGAUACUGCCAGACUUGAAUUAUUAGGAAGUAACUAGAAUAUGUAGUGUAGCGGUGAAAUGCUUAGAGAUUACAUGGAAUACCAAUUGCGAAGGCAGGUUACUACUAAUGGAUUGACGCUGAUGGACGAAAGCGUGGGUAGCGAACAGG